AGUUCCUUGAUUGCUUUAUUUCCUAUUAGGUCGUGACCUGCUGCUUUCUUGGGGUUUAGGCGACUGAUUGCUUCUAUGAUCUCUGCAGAAGUGAAGGGUUGAAUGGGAGGGGACAUUUGGAAGGGAGUGUGCAGUGUUUGGCAAAUAGGUUGGCUUUUUCUAUAGGGCUACGCGCCCAUCCACCCUGCGGACGGCGGAUUGGAGGUAUUAUUUGUGGGGAGCGCGUGAGUUUCCUGGAGGCCUUCCAUAGUGAGUAGUUGGAGUCGGCUGUGGAGGACAAGCUGGCGAGAUAUUUGUGAAAACGGUCGUUAUUGUAGUUUUUUUGAUUUUGGAU
rnacentral:misc_RNA from 1 species